UACGGAGGGAGCUAGCGUUGUUCGGAAUUACUGGGCGUAAAGCGCACGUAGGCGGCUUUGUAAGUCAGAGGUGAAAGCCUGGAGCUCAACUCCAGAACUGCCUUUGAUACUGGAGAGCUUGAGUUCGGGAGAGGUGAGUGGAACUGCGAGUGUAGAGGUGAAAUUCGUAGAUAUUCGCAAGAACACCAGUGGCGAAGGCGGCUCACUGGCCCGAUACUGACGCUGAGGUGCGAAAGCGUGGGGAGCAAACAGG
rnacentral:rRNA from 1 species